rnacentral:misc_RNA from 1 species
AAAGAUAUUAGCAUAUUCUUCUGAAUAUACUUUAUUAACCCAUUCCGAGUACCUUACCCGUUGCUUCCGCGAGGCUGUCCUCACGGCCCUCUGAAGAUUUAUCUUUGGGGAGUCCUUGCGGAAGGUAUACAAUAAACUCUUGCAUUACCAUGUCAUCAUGUCUGAAUCUGUUUAAAACAAAUAUUA